rnacentral:rRNA from 1 species
UACGUAGGCAGCAAGCGUUGUUCGGAGUUACUGGGCGUAAAGGGUGUGUAGGCGGUUGCUUAAGUUUGGUGUGAAAUCUCCCGGCUCAACCGGGAGGGUGCGCCGAAUACUGAAUGACUAGAGUGCGGGAGAGGAGAGUGGAAUUCCUGGUGUAGCGGUGAAAUGCGUAGAUAUCAGGAGGAACACCGGUGGUGUAGACGGCUCUCUGGACCGUAACUGACGCUGAGGCACGAAAGCGUGGGUAGCAAACAGG